AACGAACGCUGGCGGCAAGCCUAACACAUGCAAGUCGAACGAACCCUUCGGGGUUAGUGGCGCACGGGUGCGUAACGCGUGGGAAUCUGCCCUUUGCUUCGGAAUAACAGUUAGAAAUGACUGCUAAUACCGGAUGAUGUCUACGGACCAAAGAUUUAUCGGCAAGGGAUGAGCCCGCGUAGGAUUAGGUAGUGGGUGGGGUAAAGGCCUACCAAGCCGACGAUCCUUAGCUGGUCUGAGAGGAUGAUCAGCCACACUGGGACUGAGACACGGCCCAGACUCCUACGGGAGGCAGCAGUGGGGAAUAUUGGACAAUGGGGGAAACCCUGAUCCAGCAAUGCCGCGUGAGUGAUGAAGGCCUUAGGGUUGUAAAGCUCUUUUACCAGGGAUGAUAAUGACAGUACCUGGAGAAUAAGCUCCGGCUAACUCCGUGCCAGCCGCCGCAGUAAAAC
rnacentral:rRNA from 1 species